GGUGGGUGGAGUUGCGUCCGCGUCGGUGAUGGGCGGACCGGCGUCGGAGAAAACAAUUUGCAAUCAAACACAGAGUUAUUGGACUGGUCUGCUCAGGAACAGAAGUAACUGAGCUCUGAAGUGACCAUAAUGCCACUCCAACCUAUACACAGUGCCUUCUGUGCUUUCUUUUGUUUGAGGUAACCAUUAAUUAUAACCAAAAUGGUUGUGAAAUGGUCCUAAAAGCACCGCUCUCCUUAAUGAAAAUACAUAGAAGGUGAUUUUCCACACUACAAAGGCUUACCUUGUUUGGUUCUGCCAUUUUCUUUCUGCAAAUCUGUGUCAAAAUUAGAAAAAAAACUUGUGAAGCCCCUGCUCCUUAUUUGGCAUGAACAGCAUCUACAGGCUGAAACUUGAAACUGUAAUACUGCACAUUUCAAACUACAAGCCUGUGUUGUAAAACUAACAGCAUUAAAGGCACCAAAAUCAACAAAUGAGUAGCAGCAGAAAAAAAAGGAAAUCGAAACAGAAACUGAAAAAACAGGAGACAGAAGCAAAACCAACAGAAUAAAUAAGGAAAAACUGCAUUGUGUUCUAUGUCAAAAAAGACAAUUGGAAGUCAAACACUUACUUAUAGAUUGGACAACCAUUGAUACAUUUACUGAACACCAACUGUGCAAUCUAUGUAUGAGGUGGCACAGUAGCUCAAUGGUUAGUACUGCUGCCUCACAGACCCAGAGAUCCAAUUUCAAUUCCACUCUCGAGCGACUGUCUGUGUGGAGUCUGCAUAUUCUCCCUGUGUCCGUGUAGGUUUCCUUUGGUGCUCUGGUUUCCUCCCACACUAGAUAUGCAGGUUAGGUGGAUUGGCCAUGCUAAAUUGCCCACAGUGUCUGGGGAUAUGCAGGCUAGGUGGAUUGGCCAUGAGAUAUGCUGGUUAUGGAGAUGGGGUGGGUCUGGGUGGAAUGAUCUUCAGAGGGUUAGUGUGGAUUCAAUGAGCCAAAUGGCCUGCUUCCACACUGUAGUAUGUCUCUGUAUUUAUAUAUACAGUUUAUGAGAAAAUGCUGUAGCAAAGAUAAUGAGUGGAACUCUUCUGAAAAGGAACUCGGAAGAGAGGCUCAUUGAAUUAGUCUGUCUCUACACCAACUCAAGUCUUUAGAAGUGAUCUUUUAGCCAAGCUAAAGAGCCAUAUCAUUGUUACAUUACUUGAGGAUGAAUCCAAACAAGAAGUCAAAGUGGCAGGCCAACAACAAUUACAUUCUUUGGUGCAGCCAAAAUUAUUGCUGCAAUCAUCAAAGCAUAUCACUAGAGAUAGUAGGAACUGCAGAUGCUGGAAAAUCUGAGACAACAAGGUGCAGAGCUGGAUGAACACAGCAGGCCAAGCAGCAUCAUAGGACAGAUGUGGUUUUUCUCCCAUUUUCUUGAUAUCUAUAGGUCAUGGGACACCAAUGGACAUUGGGAAUGCACAUAUAGGAAAUCCAAACCCCAGAACAGAAUAAGGUACAACACCACAACACUGGCGGCAAGGAAAGCCUUAAGAAAGAAUGCAAAUGCAAACACAUCAACGAGAAUCAGAAUCAACUAAGUGAAAGGCCAAUAUCAGAGGAUGACCAAGCUUUCCAUAACGUUAAUUUCUCACACCAUGUCAAUCGUAGAAGGUGAAAAGAAUCUUUUAAGAAUAUUAAUCCUGUAUAUGCAGGUGAACACACAUUUAAAGUUAAUAUCAAUAUCAGAACUAUUGCCAAAAUAUUGCCACAAUGCAUCCUGAAGGAUUUCCGCAGCAAGUGACACUCCAUGGUACAGCCUAUGAGAACUGUUUCAGAGUGCUAAUAGACUGCAGGUCAUCGGAAAGCCAUUACAGACUAUGUAUACUGAGUGGGGAAUGACUCUUAUCACAGCAUCACUCUGCUAUCCAUUCUCAAAUGAUCUAGCAGAAUGAAUGGCAUAUAGUUUUGAAUCAAUCCUCAUUUAAUGUCAAGAAACAUAAUAAGAUUUUCACAUUGCAUUUUUGUGCAACCUCCGUGAAGAAAGAUUACUAUCCCCAGCACAACAUCAUACUUGGAAGGCAAGAACAAAUGAUCUUGCCCAGCAACUAAUUGUCUAAACAUUCUGAAGCAUAUGAAGUUCUUCUUCAAAAGACAAAGGAAAAUGAAAGAAAUACACAACAAACAAGGAUGUAGUGAAUUGCCAAAAAUAUAAACAGGACGGUGUGAGUUAGAAAUCCAAAUCCAAAUACUUGAGUACCUGCAAAAGUCUCUAGAGUACACAACCAGCCCAGAUCAAACUAUUCAUCACUGAUCAUAGUGAUGUUUUGUGAUGGAAGAGGAGCUGGCUCAGACCAAUGAAUGACACAUCAAUCAUGCCUAAAAAUAGUAAGGAAGAAAACUCCGAUGAUGAUUUUGUUAUUGAUAGCAGGUGACAUCAGCCAGGUCAACAUAAGUUGUCACACCUCCAAAGCAAUACAUUGAAGUUUGGAAUGUUAAUUUUUAUAAUUAUCAAAUUAACAAAACCUGCCUAUUUACAACCAUGAAUAUCUUUUGUGUUUUGUUUUUAUCUCUGAGAAAAUUUUAUGACCACUAUAUUAGUAUACCUUUAAGAGAUGCUGUAUGUCAGCAUAGCAUUAAGAAUUAUGCUCAUAAUAUAGUCACUGUAUCAUAACAUUUAAUUUGAGGGUCUCAUCUCACAUCUUAAUUGGGAUCACAUGAAGAAUAAGACACUAUUGAAAGCGUGCUGCUCCUCAUAACCAAACUGCUUGAUGUGAGCCCAGACACUGAAGUAGCUGUGGAUGUAAUAUUUAUCUAUAUUAGUGAGUUGUACUAAAUAUCUAUUAGAUUCCUCAAUAGCACACUAUCCACAUCUCAUUUCUUAUGUCAUUAAGGAUACCAUAAGGAUUACCAUAUUAACUAUAAUGUCUUGCUAAAGGCAAAGUACACUUCAUGUAUAUGUACAAUAAUAUUCAUGUAUGUUAUCAGUAUGGCAUCUUGUAAUAAACCUAUAACUUUAACUA